rnacentral:rRNA from 1 species
GAUGAACGCUGGCGGCGUGCCUAAUACAUGCAAGUCGAGCGAACAGACGAGGAGCUUGCUCCUCUGACGUUAGCGGCGGACGGGUGAGUAACACGUGGAUAACCUACCUAUAAGACUGGGAUAACUUCGGGAAACCGGAGCUAAUACCGGAUAAUAUAUUGAACCGCAUGGUUCAAUAGUGAAAGACGGUUUUGCUGUCACUUAUAGAUGGAUCCGCGCCGCAUUAGCUAGUUGGUAAGGUAACGGCUUACCAAGGCGACGAUGCGUAGCCGACCUGAGAGGGUGAUCGGCCACACUGGAACUGAGACACGGUCCAGACUCCUACGGGAGGCAGCAGUAGGGAAUCGUCCGCAAUGGGCGAAAGCCUGACGGAGCAACGCCGCGUGAGUGAUGAAGGUCUUCGGAUCGUAAAACUCUGUUAUUAGGGAAGAACAAAUGUGUAAGUAACUAUGCACGUCUUGACGGUAACUAAUCAGAAAGCCACGGCUAACUACGUG